UCAGGCGGUUGGAUGGCCGCUGGCGGUUUCGGCCGCUGGAGGAAAGUCCGGGCUCCACGGAGACACGGUGCCGGGUAACGCCCGGCGGGGGCGACCCCAGGGAAAGUGCCACAGAAAGCAAACCGCCCGCCCGCUUCGGCUGGCAGGCAAGGGUGAAAGGGUGCGGUAAGAGCGCACCGCGCGGACGGUAACGGACGCGGCACGGUAAACCCCACCGGGAGCAAGACCAAAUAGGGAUGGCCGGUCGCGCCGCGAGGCGGCGGCAGAUGGGUUUUCGCAUCGUCAUCCGGGUAGGUCGCGCGAGGCGGUCGGUAACGAUCGUCCCAGAGGAAUGGCCAUACAGGUGCUCACGCACUGGACAGAACCCGGCUUACAGACCGCCUGAUCCC
rnacentral:RNase_P_RNA from 1 species